AAAAAGAACCUGAAACCGUGUACGUACAAGCAGUGGGAGCACCUUCGGGUGUGACUGCGUACCUUUUGUAUAAUGGGUCAGCGACUUAUAUUCUGUAGCAAGGUUAACCGUAUAGGGGAGCCGCAGGGAAACCGAGUCUUAACUGGGCGUUAAGUUGCAGGGUAUAGACCCGAAACCCGGUGAUCUAGCCAUGGGCAGGUUGAAGGUUGGGUAACACUAACUGGAGGACCGAACCGACUAAUGUUGAAAAAUUAGCGGAUGACUUGUGGCUGGGGGGUGAAAGGCCAAUCAAACCGGGAGAUAGCUGGUUCUCCCCGAAAGCUAUUUAGGUAGCGCCUCGUGAA
rnacentral:rRNA from 1 species